rnacentral:rRNA from 1 species
UACGGAGGGAGCUAGCGUUGUUCGGAAUUAUUGGGCGUAAAGCGCGCGUAGGCGGCUUUGUAAGUUAGAGGUGAAAUCCCGGAGCUCAACUCCGGAACUGCCUUUAAAACUGCAUCGCUUGAAUCCAGGAGAGGUGAGUGGAAUUCCGAGUGUAGAGGUGAAAUUCGUAGAUAUUCGGAAGAACACCAGUGGCGAAGGCGGCUCACUGGACUGGUAUUGACGCUGAGGUGCGAAAGCGUGGGGAGCAAACAGG